AAGUCAAACAAGGAACACGAGGGGCAGUGAAAUACAAUAUAAGACAAGGACAAGCCGACACUGACAUUUAUCGGAAUCGGGAGGACUCAACAGCGAGGACGGGGUGAUUGGAGAAGGGCUUUAUUGUUACGAGGAAGUCCCGGACCGGAGGCAGGAGGACUCAAACGCAGAACAGGGACCAAAAAUGGCCCUUGGUCAGAUCACCAGCUGUGGCUCGACCAUCCCCCACUCUUCGAAGACAAAAAGAAUGAAGAAAAACUACCCGCCAUUCAGCAAAACUAAAUAUGAUGUAGUUCUCCCCCCUUUUCUGACUCCCACAACAUUCAUUUGUGAUUUACAGAACCUUUUCAGUCACUUCCCAUUGUGACGACUUAUACAGCUACAGUAUAAAACAUUUUGAGCCGCAUUAACAAAUUGGUCAUGUAAAAAGAAAGAAGGAAAC
ensembl:lncRNA